GAUGAACGCUGGCGGCGUGCUUAACACAUGCAAGUCGAACGAAGCAAUUAAGAUUGAGAUCUUCGGAAGGAUUUCUUAAUUGACUUAGUGGCGGACGGGUGAGUAACGCGUGGGUAACCUGCCUUGUACAGGGGGAUAACAGUUAGAAAUGACUGCUAAUACCGCAUAUGCGCACAGUAUCGAAUGAUAAAGUGUGACAAGGAUUUCGGUACAAGAUGGACCCGCGUCUGAUUAGCUAGUUGGUGAGGUAAUGGCUCACCAAGGCGACGAUCAGUAGCCGACUUGAGAGAGUGAUCGGCCACAUUGGGACUGAGACACUGCCCAAACUCCUACGGGAGGCAGCAGUGGGGAAUAUUGCACAAUGGGCGAAAGCCUGAUGCAGCGACGCCGCGUGAGUGAUGAAGUAUUUCGGUACGUAAAGCUCUAUCAGCAAGGAAGAUAAUGACGGUACUUGACUAAGAAGCCCCGGCUAACUACGUGCCAGCAGCAGCCGCGGUAA
rnacentral:rRNA from 1 species